rnacentral:rRNA from 1 species
UACGGGGGGGGCAAGCGUUGUUCGGAAUUACUGGGCGUAAAGGGCUCGUAGGCGGCCAACUAAGUCGGACGUGAAAUCCCCAGGCUCAACCUGGGAACUGCAUCCGAUACUGGAUGGCUUGAAUUCGGGAGAGGGAUGCAGAAUUCCAGGUGUAGCGGUGAAAUGCGUAGAUAUCUGGAGGAAUACCGGUGGCGAAGGCGGCAUCCUGGACCGACAUUGACGCUGAGGAGCGAAAGCAUGGGGAGCGAACAGG